CUUGCACAGCUCAGUUGCUGCUGUCUCCCUCCCAGAGUGACAUGGUGUUGGGGCCCGUCCUGUCCUUUCAUUCACGUCCCCUCCUUCCAGCCGGUGGGUGGGACCCGGAGAGCCCCUCUAGGGAGCAGCGUACGCAGUCCAGAAGGCUGCAGUAUUUCCUCCAAGAAAAAAAAAAAAAAAAAAAAAAAAAAGCCUGCUUCAACCCCUGCUGCAAGCAAAGUUCCGAUUCCCUCUGCUGGCUAUCUCGAAUAGCAAAGCGGUUUUUGCAGCAGAGCUGCUGCCGCUGGGACUGAACCGGGGAACUCAAAUGUGGGCGGUGGAUUAUUCCUUAUCCUUCCCUCCAUCAACCCUGCACAAGAGCUGCCUUCUUUCCUUUUCUUGCCAAGUUUCAAGGAGGUAGACAAUGUUAUCAUCAUUUUAAAGAUUGGAAUUAGAAGCACAAAGAGUGAAAUAGCAUUUUCAAAGUAACAGAAGCAGGCACUAAGCUGAAAAGGCCAUGUGAGCACACCGGAGAAGCUGACCGUCUGCAAGCCAGGAGCUCUCACAAGAAUCCAACCACACUGGCUUCCUGAUCGCAGACUUCCAGCCUCUUGAGCCGUGAGAAAUAAAUAUCUCUUGUCCAAACCACACAGUCUAUGAUGCCUUUCAGAACUUUUACUGCUUGUGGUGCCAUUGAGAACUACAAGAAUUCGAGCCAUGGCUGCCCCUGGAGUGCUUGGCCAGACUGAGGACCGGCAUCCAGGCCACUCAGAAUUGGUGACUUGGCUCUGUGGUCCCUGCACAGAAUGGCUGCCAAAUAUCUUGGCAUGUGAAACUCCUCAGAUGUGAUCAUUAAGCUUUAGAGUGAUAAUCCUCUUUUAUGUGCCACUGCAGAAUUGGAAAAAGGCAGGCACUGAGGUUUUAAUUUUUAAGAAAUAUUUACAAAUAUGAGAAAGUAUAAACCAUGUACGCAAAUACCUGUGUCUGCACCACCCAGCUUCAGAAACGGAAUGUUCCCAGGAGAGUUGAGGUACCCAUGUACCUUCUCAAUGUUCCCUCUUAUUUUGAAUUUUGUCAUUUUUCUUGGUCUUAUUUAUGCUUUUAUACCAUUCUGUCAUUAACAUUUUAAAAAUAUUUUCACUAAAAGCUUGUACUAUGGAAUGAAGAUUCGAAUCCUGAAUAUAGAAUACCUAUUGAAAAAAUUUUGCAGCUAUAAAUUAAUAAAUAUUUUGUUGUGUUUUGUUUCAUUUAUAUCUGCUGAUUUAAAGAUAGCAUGCAAAGGAUCAGACAAGAUAACACUGUUGAAAGAGUUUUGAAGAUCUCUUCUUCCUUGAAAACACCAAAACUAAAAUAUUUCAGGCAACAAACUUAGACAAAUCCAUUAGUUUUUAGCAUGGUGAGGUCUGUGAUUUUUUACGUUAGGUACAAGAAUACUACUUUGCAGGAGAUGUAAUGCUAUUGCUUUUCUGAUGAAAAUACAAGGUAGAAAAAUGGCAAAUAAUAUCUCUUUAGUUACACUGCUUGACAUUAUCAUUCUAAUUUUAUUUAGGAAAGGAGCUAAAAUCCUUAAAAAAAUUAUAAAUGGUUGAUAAACCCUUGAAAGGGUGGUUGGCCUCUCCAGUGAUAAAAGGAAUACAAAACAACAAACAAAAAACACAAUUGCAUACCAUUUUCGCCCAGAUUAACAAAGUCUAAUCAGCAGGUAUACCCAAUAUUGGCUAGAGGGUGGUAAAACAUACCUCUUUCAAAUUUGGUGAGAAGGCAGCUACUAUAGAAAUUUUAAAUGAAAAUGCCAUUAGUUAUAGCAAUUGCAUUUCUCUGAAGCAGCUCUAAGGAAACAAUCUGACAAAUAUAUAGGGAUAUAUACACACAGGCUCAUAUGUACACUUUGCAUGUGAGUGAACACACACACACAUAUUUCCUCUAUCAUGAGCAUAAGGAACAACGGGCACCUUAAAUGGCCACCAGAUAGGGAAGAUUUAGAUACUUCAAAUAAAACCAAAUUACCAUAUUUUAUGCAACAAUUAAAAGGAAGGUAGA